ACGACCUCAACUCAAGCAAGGCUACCCGCUGAACUUAAGCAUAUCAGUAAGCGGAGGAAAAGAAACUAACUAGGAUUU
rnacentral:rRNA from 3 species